rnacentral:rRNA from 1 species
AACGAACGCUGGCGGCAUGCCUAACACAUGCAAGUCGAACGAGAUCUUCGGGUCUAGUGGCGCACGGGUGCGUAACGCGUGGGAAUCUGCCCUUUGGUUCGGAAUAACAGUUGGAAACGACUGCUAAUACCGGAUGAUGACGAAAGUCCAAAGAUUUAUCGCCAGAGGAUGAGCCCGCGUAGGAUUAGCUAGUUGGUGUGGUAAAGGCGCACCAAGGCGACGAUCCUUAGUUGGUCUGAGAGGAUGAUCAGCCACACUGGGACUGAGACACGGCCCAGACUCCUACGGGAGGCAGCAGUGGGGAAUCUUGGACAAUGGGCGAAAGCCUGAUCCAGCAAUGCCGCGUGAGUGAUGAGGGCCUUAGGGUUGUAAAGCUCUUUUACCCGGGAUGAUAAUGACAGUACCGGGAGAAUAAGCUCCGGCUAACUCCGUGCCAGCCGCCGCGGUAA